rnacentral:rRNA from 1 species
UGGGGAAUAUUGGACAAUGGGCGCAAGCCGGAUCCAGCCACGCCGCGUGAGUGAUGAAGGCCUUCGGGUUGUAAAGCUCUGUGGGGAGGGACGAAAACGGUUGGGAACAAUACCCCAGCCCUUGACGGUACCUCCUUAGCAAGCACCGGCUAACUCUGUGCCAGCAGCCGCGGUAAUACAGAGGGUGCAAACGUUGCUCGGAAUCACUGGGCGUAAAGCGCGUGUAGGCGGGACGGAAAGUCGGGUGUGAAAUCCCUGGGCUCAACCCAGGAACUGCAUCCGAAACUUCCAUUCUAGAGUGUCGGAGAGGAAAGCGGAAUUCCUGGUGUAGAGGUGAAAUUCGUAGAUAUCAGGUAGGAACACCGGUGCGAAGGCGAUCUGCUGGACCUCUCUGACGCUGAGGCGCGAAAGCCAGGGGAGCAAACGGGAUUAGAUACCCCGGUAGUCCUGGCCCUAAACGAUGGGUACUGAGUAGUGGACUUGC